rnacentral:rRNA from 1 species
AGAGUUUGAUCCUGGCUCAGGAUGAACGCUGGCGGCGUGCUUAACACAUGCAAGUCGAACGGUGAAGCCAAGCUUGCUUGGUGGAUCAGUGGCGAACGGGUGAGUAACACGUGAGCAACCUGCCCUGAACUCUGGGAUAAGCGCUGGAAACGGCGUCUAAUACUGGAUAUGAGCUGCGGAGGCAUCUUCGUGGUUGGAAAGAUUUUUCGGUUUGGGAUGGGCUCGCGGCCCAUCAGCUUGUUGGUGAGGUAAUGGCUCACCAAGGCGUCGACGGGUAGCCGGCCUGAGAGGGUGACCGGCCACACUGGGACUGAGACACGGCCCAGACUCCUACGGGAGGCAGCAGUGGGGAAUAUUGCACAAUGGGCGGAAGCCUGAUGCAGCAACGCCGCGUGAGGGAUGACGGCCUUCGGGUUGUAAACCUCUUUUAGCAGGGAAGAAGCGAAAGUGACGGUACCUGCAGAAAAAGCGCCGGCUAACUACGUGCCAGCAGCCGCGGUAAUACGUAGGGCGCAAGCGUUAUCCGGAAUUAUUGGGCGUAAAGAGCUCGUAGGCGGUUUGUCGCGUCUGCUGUGAAAACCCGAGGCUCAACCUCGGGCCUGCAGUGGGUACGGGCAGACUAGAGUGCGGUAGGGGAGAUUGGAAUUCCUGGUGUAGCGGUGGAAUGCGCAGAUAUCAGGAGGAACACCGAUGGCGAAGGCAGAUCUCUGGGCCGUAACUGACGCUGAGGAGCGAAAGGGUGGGGAGCAAACAGGCUUAGAUACCCUGGUAGUCCACCCCGUAAACGUUGGGAACUAGUUGUGGGGUCCAUUCCACGGAUUCCGUGACGCAGCUAACGCAUUAAGUUCCCCGCCUGGGGAGUACGGCCGCAAGGCUAAAACUCAAAGGAAUUGACGGGGACCCGCACAAGCGGCGGAGCAUGCGGAUUAAUUCGAUGCAACGCGAAGAACCUUACCAAGGCUUGACAUACACGAGAACGCUGCAGAAAUGUAGAACUCUUUGGACACUCGUGAACAGGUGGUGCAUGGUUGUCGUCAGCUCGUGUCGUGAGAUGUUGGGUUAAGUCCCGCAACGAGCGCAACCCUCGUUCUAUGUUGCCAGCACGUAAUGGUGGGAACUCAUGGGAUACUGCCGGGGUCAACUCGGAGGAAGGUGGGGAUGACGUCAAAUCAUCAUGCCCCUUAUGUCUUGGGCUUCACGCAUGCUACAAUGGCCGGUACAAAGGGCUGCAAUACCGCGAGGUGGAGCGAAUCCCAAAAAGCCGGUCCCAGUUCGGAUUGAGGUCUGCAACUCGACCUCAUGAAGUCGGAGUCGCUAGUAAUCGCAGAUCAGCAACGCUGCGGUG